rnacentral:rRNA from 1 species
GACAGAGGGUGCAAACGUUGUUCGGAAUACUGGGCGUAAAGCGCGUGUAGGCGGCUUGGCAAGUCGGGUGUGAAAGCCCUGGGCUCAACCUAGGAAGUGCACUCGAAACUGCUUCGCUUGAGUGUCGGAGAGGAAAGCGGAAUUCUCGGUGUAGAGGUGAAAUUCGUAGAUAUCGGGAGGAACACCAGUGGCGAAGGCGGCGAUCUGGGCAGAUACUGACGCUGAGGUGCGAAAGCGUGGGGAGCAAACAGG